AUGGACGAAAGUCUGAUGGAGCAACGCCGCGUGAGCGAAGAAGGCCUUCGGGUCGUAAAGCUCUGUUGUUAGGGAAGAACAAGUAUCGGAGUAACUGCCGGUACCUUGACGGUACCUAACCAGAAAGCCACGGCUAACUACGUGCCAGCAGCCGCGGUAAUACGUAGGUGGCAAGCGUUGUCCGGAAUUAUUGGGCGUAAAGCGCGCGCAGGCGGUCCUUUAAGUCUGAUGUGAAAGCCCACGGCUCAACCGUGGAGGGUCAUUGGAAACUGGGGGACUUGAGUGCAGAAGAGGAAAGCGGAAUUCCACGUGUAGCGGUGAAAUGCGUAGAGAUGUGGAGGAACACCAGUGGCGAAGGCGGCUUUCUGGUCUGUAACUGACGCUGAGGCGCGAAAGCGUGGGGAGCAAACAGGAUUAGAUACCCUGGUAGUCCACGCCGUAAACGAUGAGUGCUAAGUGUUAGGGGGUUUCCGCCCCUUAGUGCUGCAGCUAACGCAUUAAGCACUCCGCCUGGGGAGUACGG
rnacentral:rRNA from 1 species